CACGCAGGCGGCUCGUUAAAUUAGAAGUGAAAGCCCCGGGCUCAACCUGGGAAUUGCUUUUAAGACUGGCGAGCUAGAAUCCAGAAGAGGGCAGUGGAAUUCCGAGUGUAGAGGUGAAAUUCGUAGAUAUUCGGAAGAACACCAGUGGCGAAGGCGACUGCCUGGUCUGGUAUUGACGCUCAUGUGCGAAAGCGUGGGGAGCAAACAGGAUUAGAUACCCUGGUAGUCCACGCCGUAAACGAUGAGUGCUAGUUGUUGGGGUCCAUAGGACUUCAGUGACGCAGCUAACGCAUUAAGCACUCCGCCUGGGGAGUACGGCCGCAAGGUUAAA
rnacentral:rRNA from 1 species